AAAAAGGUAAGCUAAAUAAGCUAAUGGGUUCAUACCCCAUUCAUGGAGGUAUAAUCCUCUCCUUUUUA
rnacentral:tRNA from 1 species